rnacentral:rRNA from 1 species
CCCAAAAUAUAUGCUAAGUGGCAAAGGAUGUAAAUAGACGUAGACAACCAGGAGGUUUGCUUAGAAGCAGCCAAGUUCCUUUAAAAAGUGCGUAAUAGCUUACUGGUCAAGUCCAUUUGCGCCGAUAAUGUAUGGGACUAAGCAUUUUGCCGAAACUGUGAGUUUACGGUAGGAGAGCGUUCUGCUCAGGCUGAAGUAAAAAUGGAAGUUUUUAUGGACUUAGCAGAAGUGAGAAUGUCGGCUUAAGUAACGAAAACACUAGUGAGAAUCUAGUGCUCCGAAAACCAAAGGAUUCCUUUGCAAGGUUCGUCCACAAAGGGUUAGUCAGGUCCUAAAAUGAGGCUCAAAAGCGUAGUUGAUGGAAAACAGGUUAAUAUUCCUGUACUGCACCUAGUUUGAUUAAGGGUGACGAAAAAGGUUAUAGUCAGCCAGUUUUUGGAAUCUGGUUUAAGCUUUCGAGGUUUCGAGAAGUAUUAAUAAAAGAUACUUUGAGCUGAGAAGCAAAUAUUUUUUUACUAAGGUAAAGAAAUGACUUUAGUCAUGUUUCCUAGAAAAACCCUAGUAAUUCCAUUAACUAGAAUGCACCUGUACCUUAAACUGACACAGGUCGGUAGGUAGAGUAUACUAAGGAGAGCGAGAUAACCCUUUUUAAGGAACUCGGCAAAAUGGCCUUGUAACUUCGGGAGAAAAGGUGCCCUGGUGGAAACCAGGGUUGCAGUGAUCAGAUCCAGGCGACUGUUUAUCAAAAACACAGGUCUCCGCAAAGUUGAAAAACUAUGUAUGGGGGCUGACGCCUGCCCAGUGCCGGAAGGUGAAAGAAACUUGUUAGUUUUGCGAAGCUCGUGACUUAAGCCCCGGUGAACGGCGGCAGUAACUAUAACUGUCCUAAGGUAGCGAAAUUCCUUGUCGGGUAAGUUCCGACCUGCACGAAAGGCGUAACGAUCUGGAUACUGUCUCAAAAAGGGACUCGGUGAAAUAGAACUAACUGUGAAGAUGCGGUUAACUUACACUUGGACAGAAAGACCCUAUGAAGCUUUACUGUAGUUUGAAAUUGAUUUUCGACUUUCUUUGCGCAGAAUAGGUGGGAGGCUUUGAUUUAUUCCUUCCGGGGAAUAUUGAGCCGUCCGUGAGAUACCACUUUAAGAAAGUUAAAAAUCUAAUUGCGUUUCCUUAUAGGGACGCCUGACCCUUUCAGAUGGGCAGUUUUACUGGGGCGGUAGCCUCCUAAAAGGUAACGGAGGCUUACAAAGGUUUUCUCAAGCUGGUCGGAAAUUAGCUUUGGAGUGUAAAGACAUAAGAAAGCUUAACUGUUAGACUUAUAAGUCAAGCAGUGACGAAAGUCGGUCUUAGUGAUCCGACGUUACUUAAUGGGAAGGACGUCGCUCAAAAGAUAAAAGUUACUCUAGGGAUAACAGGCUGAUCUCCCCCAAGAGUUCACAUCGACGGGGAGGUUUGGCACCUCGAUGUCGGCUCAUCGCAACCUGGAGCGGUAGUACGUUCCAAGGGUUGGGCUGUUCGCCCAUGAAAGCGGUACGUGAGCUGGGUUCAGAACGUCGAGAGACAGUUCGGUCCAUAUCCGGUGUAAGCGGUGGAGUAUUGAAAGGAACUUUUUCUAGUACGAGAGGACCGAAAAGGACACACCAAUGGUGUACCAGUUCUUAUGCCAAUAGGACACGCUGGGUAGCUAUGUGUGGA